CGGCGGACGGGUGAGUAACACGUGGAUAACCUACCUAUAAGACUGGGAUAACUUCGGGAAACCGGAGCUAAUACCGGAUAAUAUAUUGAACCGCAUGGUUCAAUAGUGAAAGACGGUUUUGCUGUCACUUAUAGAUGGAUCCGCGCCGCAUUAGCUAGUUGGUAAGGUAACGGCUUACCAAGGCAACGAUGCGUAGCCGACCUGAGAGGGUGAUCGGCCACACUGAACUGAGACACGGUCCAGACUCCUACGGGAGGCAGCAGC
rnacentral:rRNA from 1 species